CAAAUGAGCCAUCCUGCAAAUGUACUAAAAGUGUCUAGUACAGUGCGCAGCCAAUUUAGUACAAUCCCAUCGAAUGUUUUUAUGCGUGUUGUUUUGCUUUCUUAUUCGUAUCAGUGGAAUCCAUAGAAUCCGUAAAAUCUGUUUUCAACUCUUAAAACAGCAGAAAAGUCGACUUUGUUCGGUACGGUACGGUUCGGUACGCGAUUAAAAACUUGUCUUUUCCGUAAAACUAGUGCGAUUGCCUCUUAAAAUUUCAUUUUUUAAAGCAAUUCUAGUCGUUCGUAACGUUGCUGGUUAAAAAUAGUUUGCGCAUUUCAGCCGGAAGAACGGCUAUAGAAGGACCAUCAGCUGUGCCAAGACUCGAAGCGAAAAAUCGAAACCAAAGUGAGAAAGAACUUUAACAAACAUUGGUACGUACCGCUUAAAAAUUGCAACGGACCUGAAAUAACAACUGGCCGAAAUCCAAGAAAAUGUAGAGACCAACACGUUGACCCACAGAGAAGUUGACCGAAGAAAUGGAUGCUCUCAGGAAUGAAUGCUCGAUUCCCUGGAAACCCCUGCAGGGUCUAAACAAGGGUCUCGUUCCAAGCAUGAGGUGAAAGUGGUCACUGGAAGCCCUGGAAGAGGCAACCGUCUACCACGAUGAUCAAAUGUCGUAUAUGCGACGAUUAAUGAGCAACUGGAGGAUCUCGAAACGGUAAAAGUUGGGCUGGACAAGGACAAACACACCCUAGAAACCGAAAAUGCUGAUUUGGCCAACGUGAACCAAUCCCGACCGGAAAACGACCGACGUCGGAGCACAAAUUUCUGAACGGCAGGUGAAACGGGCUCAGGCUUCGGCUGCUAUCAAGAAUGCAGUAACAUGGAAAGCCAGCUGCCGGAAGCACAAUAACGUUUGGAGGAAGAAACUUGACAGAAGUCAGCCCUCAGCUCGAAGCUUAGCCAGUUGGAAAGGGAAAAGUGCUUCACUCCAGAAGUACCUGGAAGAGGAGGCCCCAGCUGAAGGAUUCAAAUUGGAAGCAAAAGAUCCUGGAGCUGUUUAAAAUUGUCAAAAGUACCGAACCGAUAGUGCAGAUUUUGACCGAUAUGCGCAUUAAAAUUUUGCUUUAAGUUUAAAAAAUCAUCAUCGAUCCAAAGAAGAUGAUUUAAAAUAAUAAAAGUAAGUGAAAUGUUUAUAAAUUUUCAAGCAUAGGUUGUAAAGUUUAAAAUUUCAAGCUCUGAAUAUUUUGUUGCUGUCUCGGGAUGAAUAAGCCAGUGAUGCUUAAAAUCCCUUGAGAAAAAAAAAAAAAAAAAUUUUGUUGCUGUCAAUUCAAAUAUGUGGUCAUGGAAAAGACGAAAGAUACAAACAAGUUUUUGAAAUCAAGAUUCAUACACACUUUUCGAAAACAAAGGAAACACAAAACCAAUUUAUGCAUAACCUUCUAAAAUGUGAAAAAGAUUGACUAUAGAAUUUUGUAAAUUUAUUUUGAAAUUAAAACAAAAUAUUAAGAUUAGGUUUUUUAACAUUUUAGUAGGAAUUUUUUCCGAAAACGACUUACCAUUUGCAAAACUAAUUAAUAGAAUUUAAUUGGUAAUUCAAGGGAACAGUAUAUAUUUAGUGCCUAUGUUUUUCUGAUGUAUUUGAAAGGUUUUGGCGUCCGAAAGUCGAAUCUUUUGUCAGAUAUAGUCUAUCACCUCUAGUUUGCGUGAUAUAAGAAACAGAUUCUGAAUAACUUCAUUAUGCUACAGUUCAUUUUGCCUACAGAUAUUUUAAUUCAAUUCAGAAAAUAGAAUAAAUUCUACAGUUUUGAAAAAAAAAAUCGAAAGAUAUCAUUACAGGUACAUAUAUCUGUCAUAAUUCAAUUCAGAAAAUAGAAUAAAUUCUACAGUUUUGAAAAAAAAAAUCGAAAGAUAUCAUUACAGGUACAUAUAUCUGUCAUAACUGAUGGAAGCAAAAAAAAGAUUUAUUCGAAUGAACAAAUUCGCCCGCAAAACGAUUUGAUUUUUGCUUUAAAAACAUCUAAAACUUAAAAUUCGUUGAUAUUGCCAUAUUUUAAGGAUAGGAAAAGUUAAACAACAUAAGAAAACUUCAUUAAACUUUUCUCGCAGAAGCCGAAAACUUGCAGUCUUUGGGAAAGUUGAAAAGUGAUUGAAAAUAUUCAUUUCAAAAUUUUUUGUAAUGAAUGUCUUACAGUUCGUAAUUGAGUAAUUUUUUCCCGUUUUUUUUUUUAUUUUAAGGAACAGUUAACACGUAAUACUUUUCUGGUAUGAUUUGAUGAAUUUGAAAAAAAAAAAUGAUCUAUUUGAAAUUCUAACACGUUAUACAUAAACUAUCUUUUAG